CAUGCAGGCGGUCGUACGCGUUUCGGGUGACAGCGGGUGGCUUAACUACCCGAAUGUUCGAAAGACGGUACGACUUGAGGGCUCGAGAGGGACACGGAAUUCCGGGUGGAGUGGUGAAAUGCGUAGAGAUCCGGAGGAACACCGAAGGCGAAGGCAGUGUCCUGGCGAGUGACUGACGCUGAGGUGCGAAAGCUAGGGGAGCAACG
rnacentral:rRNA from 1 species